rnacentral:rRNA from 1 species
AUUGAACGCUGGCGGAAUGCUUUACACAUGCAAGUCGAACGGCAGCACGGACUUCGGUCUGGUGGCGAGUGGCGAACGGGUGAGUAAUGUAUCGGAACGUGCCCAGUCGUGGGGGAUAACGUAGUGAAAAUUACGCUAAUACCGCAUACGACCGAUGGAUGAAAGCGGGGGAUCGCAAGACCUCGCGCGAUUGGAGCGGCCGAUAUAAGAUUAGGUAGUUGGGGGGGUAAAGGCCCACCAAGCCAACGAUCUGUAGCUGUUCUGAGAGGACGACCAGCCACACUGGAACUGAGACACGGUCCAGACUCCUACGGGAGGCGGCAGUGGGGAAUUUUGGACAAUGGGCGAAAGCCUGAUCCAGCCAUUCCGCGUGCAGGAUGAAGGCCCUCGGGUUGUAAACUGCUUUUGUACAGAACGAAAAGGUUUCUACUAAUACUAGGAGCUCAUGACGGUACUGUAAGAAUAAGCACCGGCUAACUACGUGCCAGCCGCCGCGGUAA